GACGAACGCUGGCGGCGUGCCUAAUACAUGCAAGUAGAACGAGUUGCGAACGGGUGAGUAACGCGUAGGUAACUGCCUCAUAGCGGGGGAUAACUAUUGGAAACGAUAGCUAAUACCGCAUACUGUGAGAUGGACCUGCGUUGUAUUAGUUAGUUGGUGAGGUAAAGGCUCACCAAGGCGACGAUACAUAGCCGACCUGAGAGGGGUGUCGGCCCACCUGGGACUGAGACCCGGGUCAGACUCCUACUGGGGGCAGCAGUAGGGAAUCUUCGGCAAUUGACGGAAGGCUGACCGAGCAAAGCCGCGUGAGUUAAGAAGGUUUUCGGAUCGUUAAGCUCUGUUGUUAGAGAAGCGUUAACUAACCAGAAAGGGACGGCUAACUACGUGCCAGCAGCCGCGGUAAUUC
rnacentral:rRNA from 1 species